CCUGUGUAUUUUUAACGGGCUGCGAGUAUUCUAACCGCGCGCCCCCCUAAAAAUGAUUUGUUCUUUAAAUGGGGACUUCCCCAAAAAGAAAAUAUGAGGGUUAUAUUGUGUUUUGUUUUUAAUCAGUGAACUUGAUCUUCCCGUGAAGAAGCGGGAAUAUAACUAUUAGACGAGAAGACCCCAUGGAGCUUUUUAUCACGCAGCAGCUUAAAUACACAAUCCCUCAUAUUCUGUAAGACCGUGCUGCAACGUUUUUUGGUUGGGGUGACCACGGAGUAUAAUCAAACCUCCACGACGAAAAGGCAAUUAUCUUUAUUUAUGAACUACUGUUUUUUUUUUUAGCACACUAACGGAUAAUGUUUCCUAUAAUCGAUCAACGGACCAAUUUUCUUUGGGGAUAACAGCCCAAUCUACUUUGAUAGCUCAUAUCGACAAGUAGGCUUACUAUCUCUUUGUUGGAUCAGGGUAUCCCGGUGGUGUAUUCGCUACUGA
rnacentral:rRNA from 1 species